CAACUUAUGGAGCGAUAUAGGGAGCAAAAGAAGGACUUGCAUAUGGUGUUCAUUGACUUGCAGAAGGCCUAUGAUAAGAUACCGCGGAAUGUCAUGUGGUGGGCCUUGGAGAAACACAAAGUCCCAGCAAAGUACAUUACCCUCAUCAAGGACAUGUACAAUAAUGUUGUGACAAGUGUUCGAACAAGUGAUGUCGACACCGAUGACUUCCCGAUUAAGAUAGGACUACAUCAGGGGUCAGCUUUGAGCCCUUAUCUUUUUGCAUUGGUGAUGGAUGAGGUCACAAGGGGUAUACACGGAGAUAUCCCAUGGUGUAUGCUCUUUGCGGAUGAUGUGGUGCUAGUUGACGAUAGUCGGACGGGGGUAAAUAGGAAGUUAGAGUUAUGGAGACAAACCAUGGAAUCGAAAGGGUUUAGGCUUAGUAGAACUAAAACCGAGUACAUGAUGUGCAGUUUCAGUACUACUAGGUGUGAGGAGGAGGAGGUUAGCCUUGAUGGCCAGGUGGUACCUCGGAAGGACACCUUUCGGUAUUUGGGGUCAAUGUUGCAGGAGGAUGGGGGUAUUGAUGAAGAUGUGAACCAUCGAAUCAAAGCCGGAUGGAUGAAGUGGCGCCAAGCUUCUGGCAUUCCCUAUGAAAAGAGAGUGCCACAAAAGCUAAAAGGCAAGUUCUACAGGAUGGCGGUUCGACCCGCAAUGUUGUAUGGCACGGAUUGUUGGCCGACUAAAAGGCGACAUGUUCAACAGUUAGGUGUGGCGGAGAUGCGUAUGUUGAGAUGGAUGUGUGGACACACGAGGAAGGAUCGAGUCCGGAAUGAUGAUAUACGAGAUAGAGUUGGGGUAGCACCAAUUGAGGAGAAGCUUGUCCAACAUUGUUUGAGAUGGUUUGGGCAUAUUCAGCGCAGGCCU
rnacentral:rRNA from 1 species